rnacentral:rRNA from 1 species
ACUAAGCCAUGCGAGUCGAGAGGGUUCGGCCCUCGGCGAACUGCUCAGUAACACGGUGGAUAAUCUAACCUUAGUGGAGCAUACCCUCGGGAAACUGAGAAUAAUACUCCAUAGAUCUUUGAGGCUGGAAUGCGCUUAAUUGAAAGCUUCGGCGCCUAAGGAUGAGUCUGCGGACUAUCAGGGUAGUAGUCAGGGUAAAGACCUGACUAGCCUACGACGGAUACGGGUUGUGAGAGCAAUAACCCGGAGAUGAUAUCUGAGACACGAUAUCAGGCCCUACGGGGCGCAGCAGGCGCGAAAACUUCACAAUGCGCGAAAGCGCGAUGAGGGGAUCCCAAGUGCUUACACGUAAGUGUAAGCUGUUUUUCUGUCUAAAAAGCAGAGAGAGUAAGGGCUGGGUAAGACGGGUGCCAGCCGCCGCGGUAAUACCUGCAGCUCAAGUGGUGGCCGCUAUUAUUGGGCCUAAAACGUCCGUACCGGCUGAGUAAAUGCCUGGGUAAAUCGUGUGGCUUAACCAUACGAAUUCCGGGUAGACUGCUCAGCUUGGGACCGGAAGAAGUUAGAGGUACUCCUGGGGUAGGGUGAAAUCCUGUAAUCCUGGGGGGACCACCAUGGCGAAGGCGUCUAAC